CAGCAGUGGGGAAUAUUGCACAAUGGGCGCAAGCCUGAUGCAGCGACGCCGCGUGGGGGAUGACGGCCUUCGGGUUGUAAACUCCUUUCGUUAGGGACGAAGCCGCACCUUUUUUGGGUGUGGUGACGGUACCUUUGUUAAGAAGCACCGGCUAACUACGUGCCAGCAGCCGCGGUAAUACGUAGGGUGCGAGCGUUGUCCGGAAUUACUGGGCGUAAAGAGCUCGUAGGUGGUUUGUUGCGUCGUCUGUGAAAUUCCGGGGCUUAACUUCGGGGUGGCAGGCGAUACGGGCAUAACUAGAGUGCUGUAGGGGAGACUGGAAUUCCUGGUGUAGCGGUGGAAUGCGCAGAUAUCAGGAGGAACACCGAUGGCGAAGGCAGGUCUCUGGGCAGUAACUGACGCUGAGGAGCGAAAGCAUGGGGAGCGAACAGGAUUAGAUACCCUGGUAGUCCAUGCUGUAAACGGUGGGCGUUAGGUGUGGGGACCGGUUUGGUUUCUGUGCCGUAGCUAACGCAUUAAGCGCCCCGCCUGGGGAGUACGGCCGCAAGGCUAAAACUCAAAGGAAUUGACGGGGGCCCGCACAAGCGGCGGAGCAUGCGGAUUAAUUCGAUGCAACGCGAAGAACCUUACCAAGGCUUGACAUGUGCCGGUCGGCUCCGGAGACGGGGUUUCCUCCUUGUGGGGCCGGUUCACAGGUGGUGCAUGGUUGUCGUCAGCUCGUGUCGUGAGAUGUUGGGUUAAGUCCCGCAACGAGCGCAACCCUUGUCUUAUGUUGCCAGCACUUUGGGUGGGGACUCAUGAGAGACUGCCGGGGUUAACUCGGAGGAAGGUGGGGAUGACGUCAAAUCAUCAUGCCCCUUAUGUCUUGGGCUUCACGCAUGCUACAAUGGCCGGUACAGAGGGUUGCGAUACUGUGAGGUGGAGCUAAUCCCUUAAAGCCGGUCUCAGUUCGGAUUGGGGUCUGCAACUCGACCCCAUGAAGUCGGAGUCGCUAGUAAUCGCAGAUCAGCAACGCUGCGGUGAAUACGUUCCCGGGCCUUGUACACACCGCCCGUCACGUCAUGAAAGUUGGUAACACCCGAAGCCCAUGGCCUAACCACCGUUUGGUGGGGGGAGUGGUCGAAGGUGGGAUUGGCGAUUGGGACGAAGUCGUAACAAGGUAGCCGUACCGGAAGGUGCGGCUG
rnacentral:rRNA from 1 species